rnacentral:rRNA from 1 species
UACGUAGGGUGCGAGCGUUGUCCGGAAUUAUUGGGCGUAAAGAGCUCGUAGGCGGUGUGUCGCGUCGGCCGUGAAAACCUGCAGCUUAACUGUGGGCGUGCGGUCGAUACGGGCAUCACUGGAGUUCGGCAGGGGAGACUGGAAUUCCUGGUGUAGCGGUGAAAUGCGCAGAUAUCAGGAGGAACACCGGUGGCGAAGGCGGGUCUCUGGGCCGGAUACUGACG